CCUACGGGUGGCUGCAGUGGGGGAUAUUGCACAAUGGGGGAAACCCUGAUGCAGCGACGCCGCGUGUGGGAAGACGGUCCUCUGGAUUGUAAACCACUGUCCCCAGGGACGAAACUGACGGUACCUGGGGAGGCAGCUCCGGCUAACUACGUGCCAGCAGCCGCGGUAAUACGUAGGGAGCGAGCGUUGUCCGGAAUUACUGGGUGUAAAGGGAGCGUAGGCGGGGAGGCAAGUUGGGUGUCAAAACUACCGGCUCAACGGGUAGUCCCACUCAAAACUGCAGCUCUUGAGUGAAGUAGAGGCAGGCGGAAUUCCUAGUGUAGCGGUGAAAUGCGUAGAUAUUAGGAGGAACACCAGUGGCGAAGGCGGCCUGCUGGGCUUUUACUGACGCUGAGGCUCGAAAGUGUGGGGAGUAAACAGGAUUAGAUACCCCAGUAGUC
rnacentral:rRNA from 1 species